GAUGAACGCUGGCGGCGUGCCUAAUACAUGCAAGUCGAGCGAAUGGAUUAAGAGCUUGCUCUUAUGAAGUUAGCGGCGGACGGGUGAGUAACACGUGGGUAACCUGCCCAUAAGACUGGGAUAACUCCGGGAAACCGGGGCUAAUACCGGAUAACAUUUUGAACCGCAUGGUUCGAAAUUGAAAGGCGGCUUCGGCUGUCACUUAUGGAUGGACCCGCGUCGCAUUAGCUAGUUGGUGAGGUAACGGCUCACCAAGGCAACGAUGCGUAGCCGACCUGAGAGGGUGAUCGGCCAAACGGGGACUGAGACACGGCCCAGACUCCUACGGGGGGCAGCAGUAGGGAAUCUUCCGCAAUGGACGAAAGUCUGACGGAGCAACGCCGCGUGAGUGAUGAAGGCUUUCGGGUCGUAAAACUCUGUUGUUAGGGAAGAACAAGUGCUAGUUGAAUAAGCUGGCACCUUGACGGUACCCAACCAGAAAGCCACGGCUAACUACGUGCCAGCCGCCGCAGUAA
rnacentral:rRNA from 1 species